AUGCGUUUUGAAGCCCAUGGACGCAAGUACUCUGUCGACAUUGUGAAGGGGGCACACAGGACCAGGAUCAAGGGGAGUGGCUGGAAGAAAUUCACUUCUGACUUUUCUCUUCAGAAGGGUGCUGUGGUCAUUUUUGACUUGGACAGGCGUCCCCGCCAGGCAUAUGUUGUCGCUCAAAGUGUUGACUUGCACACAGUUGAAGGAAGCUCUUCAGACGGGGAUGCUGAUGAAGAGAUGGUAGAUGGAGGCAUCUCAGAUGUGGAUGAAGACGGUGGCAACAUAAAGAUCGAGUAUACAAGGGGUCUAACUCUGAAUGAUGCACAACAGGACAUUCUCAAUGAACUGGUGCUCAGCUUCAAGUCCAAGUUUUUAGGAGUGUCUUUUGUACACUGUCUUACUACAACUGACACUCAAGUUGGACAAAUGGUAUGUUUUGUUGUUUCUUUUUUAUUAAAUUUUUGCUUUUUGUGUUUACUUUAUUUUGUUUAUAUGCAUUCAUUAUUUUCUUAA
rnacentral:rRNA from 1 species